rnacentral:rRNA from 1 species
GAUGAACGCUGGCGGCGUGCCUAAUACAUGCAAGUCGAACGCACAGCGAAAGGUGCUUGCACCUUUCAAGUGAGUGGCGAACGGGUGAGUAACACGUGGACAACCUGCCUCAAGGCUGGGGAUAACAUUUGGAAACAGAUGCUAAUACCGAAUAAAACUUAGUGUCGCAUGACACAAAGUUAAAAGGCGCUUCGGCGUCACCUAGAGAUGGAUCCGCGGUGCAUUAGUUAGUUGGUGGGGUAAAGGCCUACCAAGACAAUGAUGCAUAGCCGAGUUGAGAGACUGAUAGGCCACAUUGGGACUGAGACACGGCCCAAACUCCUACGGGAGGCUGCAGUAGGGAAUCUUCCACAAUGGGCGAAAGCCUGAUGGAGCAACGCCGCGUGUGUGAUGAAGGCUUUCGGGUCGUAAAGCACUGUUGUAUGGGAAGAACAGCUAGAAUAGGAAAUGAUUUUAGUUUGACGGUACCAUACCAGAAAGGGACGGCUAAAUACGUG